AUGUUUAGCCAAGUAACCAAGACCCAAUAAUAUGAUAGAAUUAGAAUCAGAAUCAUAGAAUCUUGUAGUGGUGGGAAUCAUUCAGUCCAACCAUCAAAGUAACCUGAAACAGUGACAAGACUACCACAUGCAGCCAGCAGAAUGCUGUAAUAUACUAUGAUGACUGGAAUCUUUUCUAACCAAUUCCAGCACCCAGCGAGCUUGGAUUUCAAAUAAAAUUAUACUCAUUGAGCACACUAGAUUUUGUAAGUCACCAUGCAUUCUGUAAGUGGGCGAUAGGAAUUGUGAUAAACUAGAACAGAAGAGAGGGUUAAAAUUGCAAAAGGCCUUAGAGGCUGUAUUUAAAUGUUUGUUUUGAUCACCCACAUCAAAAUCAGCUUAAAUGAAUUAAAAUGCAUAUUCCUGAACCCUAGUUUUUAUCAACUGAAUCACAAAUCUCUACUGAUGGGCUCUGGAUACUUUUCUUUUUUUAUGUAUUUUUAAUUUUUGUAAACCAGUCAUUUUGAUUAUGUAGUCAUUUUCAAAGCAAAGAAAUAGAUUAUCCCAAUUAGUUGUAUUGACCGCAGAAAAUGUUCAUAACCAUGUUAUAGAAAUUGUCACUUUUCCUAAAUUAAUAGGAUAGUUUUAUUAAAUAGUUUUGAUAGACACAUCAUGUUUAAAUAUUUUAAUCCCUAAGCAUAAAAAAUUAAUCAGAGGCAAACUAGGAUUGAGCUGUCAGUCUGGGAUUUAUUAUUGAAUAAGGAUAACAUCCUCCUUCUAGGCUAUCGGCAGCCUGUCACCUCUCCUUUGAGACCAGCACAAAGGCGGAAGGUCACACCUCUUCUGCAGACUCAUUUCAUCCCUUGCUUGCCCAUGGUCGCCUGUGCAGCUGACAUCUCAAUCCUUCAUGGCCCCAUUGACAGAACCUCUGCCUUCAUCUACUUGGAGCUGGACUGGCUUGUGUCUGGGUUGUUUGACAGAACAGAGCAGAAGUGAUGCUGCUCAUUCCUGGACUUAGACUUCAAGAGCCUAAGAGGACUGACAGUUCCCACCUUUUGAUUCAUUAUGUGAGAUAUCCAAGUGGUGGUUAGAAUCUUAUCCAGCCUCUUGGUUUUCAAUGUUUUUCAGACCAAUGCAGUUUUAUUUUUCUACAAAAAAGUUUUUUUCUGAUUGUAAAUUAGUUUCUUGAAGAAAAUCUGGAAAAUACAAAAAAAGUGAGAUAAUAAAAAUCACUGGUAAUAUACUUCUUAGUGAUAAACACUACUAACAUUUUGGGAUAUAUUCUUGCAGUUUUGCCUUUGCAACUAAAUCUGUAUCUAGCCAUCAUUUAUCUGUCAAUCAAUUUAUCUUUAUGUAUUUUAUCAAAAAUGUUUGGCUUGAUUUAUAUGUACUUUUCCUAAACUCUGUCAAGUUCCUGACUACAACUGUUCUUCUCCUAUUCUUAGCAGCUUGAGACACUGUGACAAGGUAUUAGAAGGUGUUUGAGUUGAAGAAUUAUUUAUUAAGAAUGAAAGCAUGAAAGAGGAAAGAGAGAACAAGAGCCACAGUUUCCUUUUUAAGAAUAAAAUGUCCAGUCCUUAGCAAAUCCAGUGUCUCCAUCUUUUUAUUCUCAAUGCUGGGUUUCUUAUUUUCCAAGAACCCAUUUUUGUUAAGGGAAUGGAGGGUAUGAGCUACAAAAGAACUUCUCCCCAUGAAAGCACCUAUUCAGCAGAUGCUCCAUUUCCUAAAACCCUUCAUCUAGUUAAAUAAAUGACAGCCAGCAUAGACCUGCAAGUUUCCAAUGAUGAAACUUUUUAAGAUAAUGAGUUCUGCUUCAGGUAGUACCAGGUGAAAUAAAAUCACAGAACACUAUUCUCAAAAGUUGACUGCAAAGGCUGGGGUUAAUUGCAUGAAAGGUGAUGGAGCUGCUGGAGUAGAACAGGUCAGAAUGCACUGGCUGGCAUGGAUGCUAGAUGCCCUGUCUAGAGGUCCCAGGGAGGAGAAUGGCUAAUACCUCAGUAACAUAUAGUAAGUAAAGCCCACCAAUCAUUUGUAGCUCCAGAGUUACACAAAAUAAAUCCUUGGAUAAAGCAUCUGCUCUAUGAGGAUGAUGAGAAGGUGAGCACAAACCAAAGGAAAGGAUACUCUGACAAGCUCAAACUAUUGUAGCUAUGAAGAAUCA
rnacentral:lncRNA from 1 species